rnacentral:rRNA from 1 species
AUUGAACGCUGGCGGCAGGCCUAACACAUGCAAGUCGAGCGGAGCGGCGGACGGGUGAGUAAUGCCUAGGAAUCUGCCUGGUAGUGGGGGAUAACGUCCGGAAACGGGCGCUAAUACCGCAUACUAUCAGAUGAGCCUAGGUCGGAUUAGCUAGUUGGUGGGGUAAAGGCCUACCAAGGCGACGAUCCGUAACUGGUCUGAGAGGAUGAUCAGUCACACUGGAACUGAGACACGGUCCAGACUCCUACGGGAGGCAGCAGUGGGGAAUAUUGGACAAUGGGCGAAAGCCUGAUGCAGCGACGCCGCGUGGGGGAUGACGGCCUUCGGGUUGUAAACCUCUUUCAGCAAGGAAGCGGUACUUGCAGAAGAAGCGCCGGCUAACUACGUGCCAGCAGCCGCGGUAAUUC